GACGAACGCUGGCGGCGUGCUUAACACAUGCAAGUCGAACGGAAAGGCCUCUUUCGGGGGGUACUCGAGUGGCGAACGGGUGAGUAACACGUGAGUAACCUGCCCUUUACUUUGGGAUAACUUCAGGAAACUGGGGCUAAUACCGGAUAGGAGCUCCUGCUGCAUGGUGGGGGUUGGAAAGUUUCGGCGGUUGGGGAUGGACUCGCGGCUUAUCAGCUUGUUGGUGGGGUAGUGGCUUACCAAGGCUUUGACGGGUAGCCGGCCUGAGAGGGUGACCGGCCACAUUGGGACUGAGAUACGGCCCAGACUCCGACGGGAGGCAGCAGUGGGGAAUAUUGCACAAUGGGUGGAAGCCUGAUGCAGCAACGCCGUGUGCGGGAUGACGGGCUUCGGGUUGUAAACCGCUUUCGCUCAUGACGAAGCUUUGUGUGACGGUAGUGGGUAAAGAAGCACCGGCUAACUACGUG
rnacentral:rRNA from 1 species